GAGACCCACGCCAACAGUUGCCAGCAUGUCCUCCGGGAUGGUGGGGACACUGUUGGGACCGCCUCUGCUAAAGAGGAGGAAGGAAUGGGCAACGGUAGGUCAGCAUGCCCCGACUUAUCCGGGCUACACGCGGGCUACAAUGGUCAGGACAAUGGGUAUCGACACCGAGAGGUGAAGGCAAUCUCUUAAACCUGUCCUUAGUUCGGAUUGUGGGCUGCAACUCGCCCACAUGAAGCUGGAAUCCGUAGUAAUCGCGUCUCAAAAUGGCGCGGUGAAUAU
rnacentral:rRNA from 1 species